rnacentral:rRNA from 1 species
GACGAACGCUGGCGGCGUGCUUAACACAUGCAAGUCGGACGGAAAGGCCCUGCUUUUGUGGGGUGCUCGAGUGGCGAACGGGUGAGUAACACGUGAGUAACCUGCCCUUGACUUUGGGAUAACUUCAGGAAACUGGGGCUAAUACCGGAUAGGAGCUCCUGCUGCAUGGUGGGGGUUGGAAAGUUUCGGCGGUUGGGGUUGGACUCGCGGCUUAUCAGCUUGUUGGUGGGGUAGUGGCUUACCAAGGCUUUGACGGGUAGCCGGCCUGAGAGGGUGACCGGCCACAUUGGGACUGAGAUACGGCCCAGACUCCUACGGGAGGCAGCAGUGGGGAAUAUUGCACAAUGGGCGGAAGCCUGAUGCAGCAACGCCGCGUGCGGGAUGACGGCCUUCGGGUUGUAAACCGCUUUCGCCUGUGACGAAGCGUGAGUGACGGUAAUGGGUAAAGAAGCACCGGCUAACUACGUG